rnacentral:misc_RNA from 1 species
GUGGCUCCUCCAACGCCUUCUUCGCACUUUCAACAGUCUUAUACACAAAGAGGCAGAACCCCUUAAACUUCCCGGUCGCCUUGUCCAACCCGAGCGGCCCCUCCUCAAUCUCACCAAACUUCGAGAAAAACUGCAUCACCUUCUGGGGGUCGAGCUCCGCGGCAACAUUGCUCACAUAGAUCUUGCGCUGAGUGUACUCCGAAACCGGCGGUGCUGCAGCUGGCACCGGCCCUGCCGAAGCUAACUGGCACGAAGUCAUCCGGUUACCGAUCUUCUUCUGUGGCUCCUUGAGAGCUUUGUUUGCACUGGCCCUGCGCUUGAAGAGGACAAAGCCGUAGCCCUUGGAUUUUCCGGUAGCCUUGUCGACCACAGCCUUGCAAUCUUCGAUUUCUCCGAACUGAGAGUAGGCGGCUUUUAGAUCCUCGGUGGUGGUGUCCCAGCCAAGGCCGUGGACGAAGAUCUUGCGGUGGGAGGGGUCGACGUCGGCGGCACGGAUGAUUUCUUGGAGCACGUCCGGAUGCUUCGCGGCGGCGGCACCGAGGAGCUCCGCGAGCUGGUCCUUAGGGAGGGGGUUGAGAAGCUUGAGGAUGGAGGCGGGGUCGUUGGAGGGCACGUCGUCGUCAUCAGCGUCCCCGCCGGCGGCGGAUAAGGCGGGGGGUUCCGUCUCCGUCUCGUCCUCCAUGUCGACUUCCUCGGCGGUGGCGGUGUUCUCCUCCGGCACGGUGAUCUCCGGGUCCUCCUCCUCUUCCUCGACCUCGAUCUCCUCCUCGUAGUACUCAAAUUCCUCCUUGACCGGCUCCGGAGCGACGACGGGUUCCGCCGAGGGGGUGGAUCGGGGGGCGACCUUUCGCUUCUUGGCCAUGGAUGAAGGGAGAAGGUCGGUGAGGGAGUAAAAAGUGGCGGCGGCGGUUGUGA